rnacentral:rRNA from 1 species
UACGUAGGGUCCGAGCGUUGUCCGGAUUUAUUGGGCGUAAAGAGCUCGUAGGCGGCUUGUCGCGUUGACCGUGAAAACUCGCAGCUCAACUGCGAGCCUGCGGUCGAUACGGGCAGGCUAGAGUUCGGUAGGGGAGACUGGAAUUCCUGGUGUAGCGGUGAAAUGCGCAGAUAUCAGGAGGAACACCGAUGGCGAAGGCAGGUCUCUGGGCCGAUACUGACGCUGAGGAGCGAAAGCGUGGGGAGCGAACAGG